rnacentral:lncRNA from 1 species
CAGAGAGGAGAGAGAGAGAGAGAGAGAAAGAAAGAGGGAGAGAGAGAGACAGACUCCGGGGGAGGGGGCUCUGCCUCCCAGCCAUACCUCUGGUCAAGGUGAUUGCCCAGCAAUCUGAGCCAUAUGUUAGGCAUUUUUGAGGUUAAAGUUCAGAACUUUUAGAGAGAUGAGAGUCGUUGCUUGUCUUUUGACCUGAAAGACUUUACAUCACUCUUGGCCAUCCAUAUCUUACCAGCCUACAAAAACCCUGUUUACAUUCUUUGCCUUUUGGUUUAAUUACAUUUCACAUUAUAAUGAUUCCAUUUAGAAAUGCCAUGUGUCUUCAGAUAAGCCCAAAAACCCACCUCAUGUAAAUUUUAGAGCCAAGAUUUAUGAAAUCAUAUUGUCCAGGUGUUUUAUUGCAUUACCUUGAAAUUGCAUUGUUUUCUACUGUAGAUUAUCUGUUUAUUCCUAAGUUAUUUCAUUACGUUUGGAUAUGAAAAUAACACUAGCUUUCUCCAUAUGGGUCACCAGGCUGGCGUGGCUGAUGUGUUGUUUUUCAUACAUUUUUAUGAUGUUCCUAUAGUAAACAUAAUUUAAUAAAGCCAAAGCACACUAAAUAAAUAAUUGCAUCUAGAAAAGCAAUAAAAACAAAUAAAAUUAGUACUUUCAUAAGUGGAAAAGGUACUUCAAUUACUGCUACAAGCAACAAUCCACCAUAAAAUGUGUACGGUCAUUUCCCUUAUGCAUAUUUCUGGAAUGUAAUAAUUUGAUUGAAGAUGAGGUGGCACAUAGGGAGGCUCAGGGUGUGAAGUGGUACACCGUUUCCAACAAGAGGUGCAUAAUGUCAGUCCUUGGCAUCUUUAAAAGCCUACUGUUUUUCUGUGCAGGCACCUUUGGCUAGUGCCAUCAAACAUGCAGUUAAUUACACUUCCCUAGCUUGUUUAACUGGAAAUAAAUUCCUAAUGGCCAACAAAAGGGGGCUCAUGUGUGCAUCUCACCAAAUGUAGUUUUGAUGGAAGGGUGAGAGGCCGCUGAGGAGCAACUUAAGAGACAGUUUUUUAGCAUACUGGAAGGACAAGGUAAACCCUGUGGUAAACCAGGAGCUAGAAGCAGGACACAGUGGCUAAAGCAGGUGUGCAAUGCUUCCCCCGCCCCAAAAUGUCCAAGCACAUGUGCCUAUGAACACAUGCCACGAACAUGUGCCACUCAUGUGAGCACACUCAGCCCCACAUGAUACUCCUGUCUCCUGCUACAUCAUCCAAUGAAUGAUGGCAUGAAGGAAGUUUCAAAAAUACUUAAGUGACCUGAGGUGAUACUGGCUUUGUAGGUGUGGGGUUUUAUGAGUUUACUACAUGCAUAGGUUUCUAAUCACGACUGCAAUCAGGACACAGGAUAGCUCUGUGGCCUCAAUCACGCCACCCCUCUGUGUCCCCCUUCUCCCCAGAGCCGACCUCUGGUGACCAGAGAGAGCUGCUGGCAGUCACCAUGGCUUUGUUUCUUAGCUAACAUCACAGAAAGGCACUCCAGGACCUGCCUUCUUCUCUUUGCUCAGUGUGCCUCCCUGCCAGGUGGCCCCAGCUUGCUGGGUCUGUACGGUUUGUGCCUUUGCUGCUGAGGAGACUGCAGGGGUUCCAAUUGCACAGUCAGCUUCCUGCUCAGUGAUGCAAGUUGUCCUGGAAUGGCGCUGUUGGGUCAUCUGGCAGGUACACAUUUAACUUCCUGAGAAAUAAAACUGCCAAAUCACCAAGGGGCAUUGUUGUCCCCUAUCCGCCAAGCCUGGGGUAUCAGUGGUUCUGCAUCCUUCUCAGCUCUCAGUAUCCCUUUCACUGUCCUAGGAGGUGUCAGGACACAGUGGACAGUGGUCCCCAGCUUCAAGGGGAUCGAAGGACUCGCCAGUCCCAGACUUGAGCUCACAAAAGACUGCUGAGUCAGAGGAGGGUCCCCUCAGGAGAAGGAUGAGGGGUGACCACAUUUGAAGGUCGGGUGAGACCCCAGUCUCCAGGUGUAACAAAUCACGUGUGCAAGUUUUCACAGUGCUCUGAGUGGCCUGGCCUGCAUUCCAUCCUUCUGUCCUGCCCCUGGUGAGGUGCUGUCACCACAGGUACCAGCUCAGGCUGGUCCUCCCACCCCCCUGCUUUAAGCUUUUCUUUGCCCCCACUUCCUGGUGAUAACUGAAAAGUAUAUGAGAAAGGAUAACCAGAUUCAGCUGACGCUAGAAAAACCAAACCCAGGGGUCCCAAAAUUCAAGCUCCUAAUGGGCACUUUCUGAGCAUCUGAUUUUGCAGGUGUGUUUCCAUGAUUUAAGCCAGAAGUUCACAUUCCUACUGGAGAAGAAAGACAGGGAAAGGAGAGAGAGGGGGAAGGAGAGAAGGAUUUAACAGUCUCUUAUGCAGACUCUUUCAAAAGGACAUUUUCAUAGAUAGCGCAGUUGGACGUGCAAGUUGAAUUAAGUUUGCAGAAAUAAAAGAAAAAUGCAAUUGCUGGUGCUGCAAGUUCCCCAAUGUCAAGAGUUCAAUUGGGUAACACCAUUACCACGCAGUGGAUCAAUCCCAGGAUGCAGAAUACUUAUGCUAAC